AUUGAACGCUGGCGGCAGGCCUAACACAUGCAAGUCGAGCGGAUGAAGGGAGCUUGCUCCUGGAUUCAGCGGCGGACGGGUGAGUAAUGCCUAGGAAUCUGCCUGGUAGUGGGGGAUAACGUCCGGAAACGGGCGCUAAUACCGCAUACGUCCUGAGGGAGAAAGUGGGGGAUCUUCGGACCUCACGCUAUCAGAUGAGCCUAUGUCGGAUUAGCUAGUUGGUGGGGUAAAGGCCUACCAAGGCGACGAUCCGUAACUGGUCUGAGAGGAUGAUCAGUCACACUGGAACUGAGACACGGUCCAGACUCCUACGGGAGGCAGCAGUGGGGAAUAUUGGACAAUGGGCGAAAGCCUGAUCCAGCCAUGCCGCGUGUGUGAAGAAGGUCUUCGGAUUGUAAAGCACUUUAAGUUGGGAGGAAGGGCAGUAAGUUAAUACCUUGCUGUUUUGACGGUACCAACAGAAUAAGCACCGGCUAACUUCGUG
rnacentral:rRNA from 1 species